rnacentral:rRNA from 1 species
AUACGGAGGGUGCAAGCGUUGUUCGGAAUUAUUGGGCGUAAAGCGCGCGCAGGCGGCUUGCCAAGUCUGAUGUGAAAGCCCGGGGCUCAACCUCGGAACUGCAUUGGAAACUGGUAGGCUUGAGUAUGAGAGGGGUUUGUGGAAUUCCUGGUGUAGGGGUGAAAUCCGUAGAUAUCAGGAGGAACACCGGUGGCGAAGGCGACAAACUGGAUCAUUACUGACGCUGAGGUGCGAAAGCGUGGGGAGCAAACAGGAGUAGAAACCCCAGUAGUCC